rnacentral:rRNA from 1 species
GCAUAUCAAUAAGCGGAGGAAAAGAAACCAACAGGGAUUGCCUUAGUAACGGCGAGUGAAGCGGCAAUAGCUCAAAUUUGAAAGCUGGCCCCUUCGGGGUCCGCGUUGUAAUUUGUAGAGGAUGGUUCGGCGAGGGCUCCCGUCUAAGUCCCUUGGAACAGGGCGUCAUAGAGGGUGAGAAUCCCGUAUGUGAUGGGCUGCCUUAGCCAUGUGAACCUCCUUCGACGAGUCGAGUUGUUUGGGAAUGCAGCUCUAAAUGGGAGGUAAAUUUCUUCUAAAGCUAAAUACCGGCCAGAGACCGAUAGCGCACAAGUAGAGUGAUCGAAAGAUGAAAAGCACUUUGGAAAGAGAGUUAAAAAGUACGUGAAAUUGUUGAAAGGGAAGCGCUUGCAGCCAGACUUGUCCGCAGUUGCUCAGCCUGUCUCCUGACAGGCGCACUCUUCUGCGGCCAGGCCAGCAUCAGUUCGGGCGGUCGGAUAAAGACCCGGGGAAUGUAGCUCCUCUCGGGGAGUGUUAUAGCCCUGGGUGCAAUGCGGCCAGCCUGGACUGAGGAUCUCGCUUCGGCUAGGAUGCUGGCGUAAUGGCUGUAAGCGGCCCGUCUUGAAACACGGACCAAGGAGUCUAACAUCUAUGCGAGUGUUUGGGUGUCAAACCCAUGCGCGUAAUGAAAGUGAACGGAGGUGGGAACCCUCACGGGUGCACCAUCGACCGAUCCUGAUGUCUUCGGAUGGAUUUGAGUAAGAGCAUAGCUGUUGGGACCCGAAAGAUGGUGAACUAUGCCUGAAUAGGGUGAAGCCAGAGGAAACUCUGGUGGAGGCUCGCAGCGGUUCUGACGUGCAAAUCGAUCGUCAAAUUUGGGUAUAGGGGCGAAAGACUAAUCGAACCAUCUAGUAGCUGGUUCCUGCG